AAUAGCCUAACGGCUGAACCAGCAACUUGGAGGAAUGUAUGGCGAAAGCUAAUUGUAUCAUGUUUAUUUGGUAUGAUGUCGAUUUAAUCGAAUAAAAUUCUGGGUGGAAUUUAAAAAAGAUAUUUUCUAUCUAUAUUUCUUGACUAAACCACGUGCCAGCAGUCGCGGCAAUACGUAGCAGAUUAGUGUUAUUCAUCUUUAUUAGGUUUAAAGGGUACCUAGACAGCAAAUAAAGCUUUUAAAAAUUAAAUUUGAUAGGACUAAUUAGCUAGAGUUACUUAUGAGGAGGCUAAUAGGUACUUUCGGUGUAGAGAUGAAAUUCUUUGAUACCCUACCAUAGUUAUUAAUGGCACAGAUAAAGGCGAAAGCAUCUUCUUAUGUGAUAACUGACGUUGAGGGACGAAGGCUUUGCUAACAAACAGGAUUAGUUACCCUAUUAAUUAAGGCAGAAAAUGAUGAGUGUCAUAGAUUAGGUAAAACUUAUUCUAUAAAUUAAAGUGUAAGCACUCCACCUCAAGAGUAAUUUGGCAACAUCGGAACUGAAAUCAUUAGACCGUUUCUGAA
rnacentral:rRNA from 1 species